CAGCCGCCGCGGUAAUACGUAGGGUGCGAGCGUUAAUCGGAAUUACUGGGCGUAAAGCGUGCGCAGGCGGUUCGUUAAGACAGAUGUGAAAUCCCCGGGCUUAACCUGGGAACUGCCUUUGUGACUGCAAGGCUAGAGUACGGCAGAGGGGGAUGGAAUUCCGCGUGUAGCAGUGAAAUGCGUAGAUAUGCGGAGGAACACCGAUGGCGAAGGCAAUCCCCUGGGCCUGUACUGACGCUCAUGCACGAAAGCGUGGGGAGCAAACAGGAUUAGAUACCCGAGUAGUCCCUGUCUCUUAUCA
rnacentral:rRNA from 1 species